GUGUAAUCCCUUCCGUUUCCAGUCGUUUCCAUCUGUUUCCGCGAUGAUCUCGAUGGUUCUCUUUAGGAUCGCGGCCAAGAUACUGCAAACGCUCUUAAGACAAGAGUAACAAAGUAGCCGGCUUUUUCACCCAAGAAGUUAUGCGACAAACAAUGAACAAGCCGGCAAAAUGAAAACGUGGGGCGGAAACAGCGCUUUCCAAGGUAAAGCUUCCCAGGAGAGGCAUUGGUGUAACGACCGGAUCAUUGAAUGCAUUAUUCAGAUGUUGCGGUAUAGGUCUGAGCCGAGAUUUUUGCUGAGGCUGCCCGGACACCAUGGAGAACUUACUGAUUCUCAGAGUUAGAAAACAAAGGUGGCCUGCAGUAAAGGACGAAAAAACAAUCGUAAAAGUUUGCAGUACCACACAUCUUGCAGCUGAAAUACGGCCCCGUGCUCCGAACUGCAGCGGACCACGCAGGUUGUUUUAGUGCCGUGAAGCCCUGUUCGGCCGCUUCUACUCUGUGCUUUCGUUGCAACGGAUCGCAGCAGCCGUUGCUUGAGCCGGUGACGGAACGGACGGGCCUACUGGACGCGCAAGUAUUGGGGUCGUCGGAAGCUUGAACCUGCAGUAAGGCCGCUUCUCCGCUGAGCGACUUGACCAAGGCCUACAAGAAUUCACGCUGAUCCCAGGUUUUGAGGCCUACUGUAUGCCGAAGCAAACGACUAUGAGUCGUGAAUAUUUAGAACGUUUUUUGACUAACCUUUGGCUGUGCAAGGUAAAAAAAAAAACAGGAUAGGAUACUUUCCAACAAAACUCCAACGGCUACGUAAAAGCAAUGUCUGCACCUUUAACGCCGCAUCUGGGCUGUGUCCUCAGACACAGCAAAAAAGAAAGGCAAGAGUGCGAAAACGACGAAUAAAAUGCACUCGCAAUAAAGUCGGAUGAUGUAUCUUC